rnacentral:rRNA from 1 species
AGAACGAACGCUGGCGGCGUGGAUAAGACAUGCAAGUCGAACGGGUUUAGUUUCGGAGCAAUUCGGAAUUAGGCCAGUGGCGAACGGGUGCGUAACACGUGAGUCAUCUGCCUGAAAGUGGGGGAUAGCUCGCCGAAAGGCGAAUUAAUACCGCAUGUGGUUGUAAGACCAAAGCCGGGGCAACCUGGCGCUUUUAGAGGAACUCGCGGCCUAUCAGCUUGUUGGUGAGGUAACGGCUUACCAAGGCUUCGACGGGUAGCUGGUCUGAGAGGACGACCAGCCACACUGGAACUGAGACACGGUCCAGACACCUACGGGUGGCAGCAGUCGAGAAUUUUUUCUCAAUGGGGGAAACCCUGAAGGAGCGACGCCGCGUGGAGGAUGAAUGCUUUCGGGUUGUAAACUCCUGUCAUUUGGGAACAAAGCCUUACGUUAACUGCGUGGAGGUUUGAUAGUACCGAAAGAGGAAGAGACGGCUAACUCUGCGCCAGCAGCCGCGGU